rnacentral:lncRNA from 1 species
UCAUUCUCUCCCAACCGAUCUUUCUAUCUGGUUCUCUCUAGAACCUUCUCUUCUCCCGUCCUCUCCGAUGGACCCUGUCCACCUUCUCUGCCACCUCCCUUGUCGAAAACCAUGGCCACUUGUCAUCUCCUAGCCUCUACUUCACACCACGCUGGUUUGACACUACACUGAGAUCCUCAGGUGAACCUAGAGUGGUUCAACUCCUAACCAUGAUCCUUCAUGCCAUUUUCCAGACACCUUCCGCCGUUCAAGUAAGAUCUAUCACUUUUCAAGAUAAAAUCAAUAACAGUUAAAGGUUUUCUCAUCUUCUCUGGGUUCUCUGAAACCUCAACUCUUAAGAUUUUUCGAUUUCUUUUAGAUUCGUCUUAGAUCUAUAUAUAUUAUGAGCUUUUGUUAUUUUCCUCAAAGGUUUUUUUUCGAGUUUUUCUAAAGUAAUUCUUCAUCUUCAACUAGGGUUUUAACCUCUUUUUUUAAAAAAUGCUUUUCUUCUAUUUUUUUGUAUAAAUCUAUGACUCUCACUCUGUUUAAACGAUUGUUUGAGCCUUCUCCUUUGUCCAAGUUAUUCUGUUGAAAAAAUACUAAUAUUUCUUAAGUUUCUGCGUUCGUCUUGGGUUCAGUGUUCAAUCAAUGUUUAUAUUUCUAAUGAACAUUUUGUGAUUCUAUGGUUUUACCCUAUGUUUGCUUAUUAGAGUGUCUGGUUGCAACUAUUCCUGCCUAUUAUGUGAUCCUAUUCUAUUCUGGUUCACCAAUGUUGCUGAAAUUUCACUUCUCCAGCCUGUAUUACAUCUAUUUUGUUAAUGUAGGUCAUGCUCUAUGUGAAUUCCUGAUUUAUAUGGGUUUUAUCCUAUGAGUUCUUGUUAGAGUUGCUGAUUUUCAUCUAUUAUGAGUUUGAUCUAUUUGUUCUCACGAGCUUCUGCUAAUUUCUCCUAAAUUGGUAUUGUUCUCUAUUUGUGAGUCUUCGAAUCCCUGUGAUUGAUUCUUCAUCGAUCUUGCACGAAUUCUCUAAUGAUUCUUGAGAUAUCCAUUUAAUUAAGGAUGGUUUCCUAUUUAUCGUUGCCUAAAGCAUGUUACUCCGCUAAUGUGUGAUAUUUUCCUUUGGUAAAUAUUGAUUCCCUGUAAUUUGAACCUCAUUUGAGGAUCUCCUUACUGAUUUCCAGAAUUUUGAAUUAUCUCCUGCCUUGUUUCCCUGGUCGUCCCCUGUCAAACUUAUUUGUAUAUAUUUUCCUUAAAUAGGAUUAUGCUCUUGACCUUAAUUUCAUGCUCUAUCCUAUAUCACAUUUGUACUACUUCCUUAUUGUGUUAUAAUCAGCUUUACUUGAUUCCUUUCCUUAUUUUGCCACCGCUUCUUACCGUUUGAGUAUGAUUCCUUAAUUAAAGAAAGUCUGUAUACUAAAUUGAUUCCAAUUAACAUUUAUUUCUAUAAUUACUGUCGAACUAUUAUUUUUACCGUAUUCUUCCACCCGUUUUCAAGCUAUAUAUACUCUAUUCAUUCAUUAGUAGAACAUACGAACAAAAUCUGUUCAACUCUCUGUCUCACAACUAAAACUCUCUAUUCUCUCUUCUGUGCUACUUGGUGCUAUCCUAAGAUAGCCGGCUGC